CCUCCGGGCGGCAGGGGGCGGGCUCU
rnacentral:piRNA from 1 species